GAAAUCGCAGUGCCUGUGGAUGACAAAGAACUACCGGGGGACGUCGUUCGUGCUGGACGACGAAAGUUACUUUCCUCGGCCACAUCCCCCGAAGUAAAAUAUAAGUUUAAGCAUAAAUUUGAAAAAAAAAAAAGUUAUGCUGUACAUCGCCAUAUCGGACAGAGGGAUUUCAAAGCCGUGGUUCAAGCCGAGCGGUCUGGCCAUCAAUCAACAAGUGUACCAGGAGGAGUGUCUUGAGAAAAUUCUUCUGC